rnacentral:rRNA from 1 species
GAUGAACGCUAGCGGCAGGCUUAAUACAUGCAAGUCGAGGGGCAGCACGGUUAGCAAUAACUGGUGGCGACCGGCGCACGGGUGCGUAACACGUAUACAAUCUACCUUAAACAGGGGGAUAGCCUUUCGAAAGAGAGAUUAAUACCCCGUAAUAAAUUGAACGGCAUCGUUUGAUUUUGAAAGCUCCGGCGGUUUGAGAUGAGUAUGCGUCUGAUUAGCUAGUUGGUGAGGUAACGGCUCACCAAGGCGACGAUCAGUAGGGGAUCUGAGAGGACUAACCCCCCACACUGGUACUGAGACACGGACCAGACUCCUACGGGAGGCAGCAGUAAGGAAUAUUGGUCAAUGGAGGCAACUCUGAACCAGCCAUGCCGCGUGCAGGAUGACGGCCCUAUGGGUUGUAAACUGCUUUUAUACAAGAGAAAACCCUGGUACGUGUACCAGGUUGAUAGUAUUGUAAGAAUAAGCAUCGGCUAACUUCGUAGCCAGCAGCCG